CUGAUUGUUAUGCGCCCGUAACGGUUCACCCCGAGAUUUUCACAGGCAAGCCAGAAAACUACUACAGAAAACCUGCCGGUCGGUGAAUGCCAUUCCUAAGGGAAGUGUCCUCCGGGAUCUGUUUACCAGAUGCUUCUGCCAACAUCUUAAGGCCUCACUUAACCUCUGGACCAGCCGCAUCAUCCCUAGAAUGGAGCACAGAGGAUCUCAAGACUGCGAAGAAGGGCAGCUCUCCCCAGAAGGAAAAGCACACGGGCUUUCCCACGUGUCUGCAUUCCUGGCAGACUUCGUAGUGGGAAGCCUUCAUUCCAUCAGCAGCAGGGAGAAGCAAUACAGCGGCAUCUACAUCUUCAUUAUAUGAAUACAGGCUGAAAACAAGAAUGGAAAAUGGGAAACAAUUUAAUCUUGCAGCCACUGCCACCACCUCUAUAACACACAAAAGACUCCAUUACCUCCUGCUUCAACCACGUACUCACAAGUGAUGACGGAUUCGGUGACCAAGUGACCCUGACUGUUCUCCAGAACCGGCACCAGCCCAAAGGGAUUCUUCUCAAAGAACCACUCGGGCUUGUUCUUCAGGUUGAUGUUGAUGAUUUCGUGCCUGAAAGACACAAGGCUACUGAAGAGAGCAAGGCAGUUUCUGUCUCUCUGGAUUAGUGUGGCCCGAUCCCACCAUCUACUUAGUGGAUGGGCCUUGGAUGGAGGAGGAGAGCUCCGACCAUGCUGCACCUGCAUUUUAAGAGCCUGGUUCACAUGCCCCCCUGCAGGCAAACAGCCAAUGCUCACUUCUCUGUUCAUCUGCCUUGUUUCACUCAUCGUCCCCACGAUCCAUCGCUGUCACACACUGUAGACUUUCCUUCUCUUUAACAGUGGAACAUUACAUGUAGAGCGUUUUUGUUAUCCACUCGUCUGUCACUUUCCAUCGGCCGCACACCGUUGUGAACAGUGCUGUACUAGACAUGGGAAGGCUGGUGUCUCCUGCAUCUCAGCAGGAGGCAACCGACUGGAUUGUGCGCAUGCCCACUGAGUAUUAGAAUCAGCCUGAUAAAACCUUUCAUUUUGAUCCAGUUCAAAAUGAGUUGAAUUGACUCAAGUGAAUACAUUUUGCUAAUAUGGAUUUUAAAAUCCUUGUUUAUAAGGGUAUUAUUUUAAUCCUAAAAAAAAUCCCAUAAAAUGAACCACAUUGAAUC